GGUUUUGUGGCCUGCCUUGUGCAGGAGGUCAGACUAGAUGAUCAUAUUGGUCCCUUCUGACCUUAUGAGGUCUAUGAGUUAUGAGAUCUAUGAGUCUCUAAGUGUAAGGACAAGGCC